rnacentral:lncRNA from 1 species
AUGGAAACACGUAGAUGGUAUAAAAAAAUAACGAGAGGUAAAAUUCCAUUACCAAGAGAUCAACAUUGUUCUGUAGUAUAUCCUGCCAAAAGUGAGCAUUUAAGAGCAGAUAAAAUGCAUUUAACUGAAGGUGUUAUAAUUUUUGGAGGUAAAUGUUUAUAUAAUAAUAAUAUAGUUAAUUUAAAUGAUAUGUGGAUGUAUCUAUUUAAGUAUAAUAUGUGGACACGUAUUAAUUAUUUGGGUGAAGAAGCACCAAUAGGUAGAUAUGGCAUGAAUAUGAUCUGGUCCGAUGUAAACACUCUAUGUUUAUUUGGUGGGGAAUAUUAUGAUAUUAAUAAAACUUCAGAAGAUAGAAAAUUGUUAGAUGAUAUGUGGUUAUUUAAGUUAUAUAGUAUAGACUUUAGUACUAAUGUGAUAGUGAACACAUACACUACACAUAAGGCAGUAGUGGGAACAAAUCAUGGCACUAUGUCUAGUAGUAAAGAAGGGGGAGGAGGAGGAGGAGGAACAUAUCAUACAGUAUAUGAUUCAGGUGAAAAGUCACAAAAUGAGUAUAAUUCAUAUACAAAAGAAAAUAAGAAUAUCGGUUUAAAUAAAAGACAGAAUAUUCAGAAUGGUUUAGUGAAUAAUGACACUGAUAGUGGUAACGGUGUUACUACUGCCGGUGUUGGUGGUGGUACAGGUUCAGGUACAGGUUCAGGUACAGGUACAGGUUCAGGUACAGGUACAGGUUCAGGUACAGGUUCAGGUUCAGGUUCAGGUCCAGGUUCAGGUCCAGGUGUAGAUGAGGUUGCUACUACUGCUACCAAUAACAGUGGUAAUAAUACAAACACGACACAACCGUCGUCAGAUACUAACAUUGGGAAUGAUAGUAGUGGUAAUAAUAAAAGUGCCAAAAGUGGAACCACAACCAAAACUGGUACGAAUAAAACCGACACAACUAAAACGGAUACAGGUAAAACUGACACAGCUAGAACUGACAACAUGUCGAAAAAUGAUAUAACGAAUACACUAAAAGUCACAGGGGAAUGGACAAGAGAAAAAUAUAUAGGAAAUAUAGGGUGCCGAUCUAACUACUGCAGUCUGUUCAUUACACAAAGACAUCAAGAUUCGAAAGGAUGUGAGCCAAAGACCGUUGAGAAAUUAAUGCUUUUAUGUAAUGGUAUAACUUAUUCAAAUAGAGAUAAUGUAGUACGGAUUGUAUCUACCGAUGAAAUUUUUGUUUAUUUUUUUUCACAAAAAAAAUGGUAUUUAUUAAGAGGUAAAUUAUUUAAUGAAGAGUUUAUAUUUAAUCCUAGACAAAGACAUGUAGGUUGUUUUUUUGAAUCAAAAAACAUUUUAGGUAAAUCGAAUAAAAAUCCGGUUCCAUGUAUAUUUAUUCAUGGUGGGUUUAGAAAGAAUUAUAUUUAUGGUGAUGCUUGGUUGUUAUCAUUAACAGGUGAAAAUCCAUUGAGAGUAUAUGAAUAUGAUACUACAAGAGAAAAAAUACCAACUACUCAAAUGCCAUUAUAUUAUUUUAGAGAUACUCAUUCGAUUAGUUUAUUAUAUAGUUUUUGUACGUUACAGAAAUGGUUGUUUGGUGCUUUUGCAAAUUUGGUUGAUAAUUGUGUACAUGCUGUAAAUCCAGCUGAAAAUAUUUUUAUAAAAUAUGAAUUAACACCUGAACAUGAUGGUAUGAUAUCAAUUCAAGAUGAUGGGGAAGGAUUAGAUUUUAAUGCUAUGAAUAGAAUAUUACGAAUGUAUGGAAAUUAUAAAAAUUAUGACACCCAUUCUAUAUAUAAUAGUAAUAAUAAUGGUAAUAUUAUGAAACAUGCAUUACCUAAUAAUGAUUUUGUUAAUAAUACUAAAAUUGAUGAAUAUGAUGAAGAGAAGCGUCAAUAUAAUUAUAAUAAUGACAGUAGUGAUACUAAUAAAAAUAGUUCUGGAAAAAGUGGUUAUUAUGGUUCUACAAAAAAUAAAAAUAAUUCACAUUAUCAUGAACAACAUGGUGGUAAUAGCACUAACGAUGUAUUAUCACAUAAAGGAAAACGCAUUAACAGUCAUAAUUAUAGUGAAAAAAAUAAACAAAACGAAUAUAAUGAAAUAUGUAAUAGUAGUAAUGAUAAUGAGGAUGUUAUGGGUGAUCAAGUGAAGAAAGGUGAAGGAGAUAAUGGAGAGGAAGAAGGAAAAAAUAAUUAUAAUAAUAAUUGUAAUAAUUCCGGUAAUAACGAAAUGAAUUAUGAUAAUAAUAAAAACGAUUGUAACAGUGGUGGUAGUAGUAGUAAUAGUAGAUUAGACGUGAAUAGAAACACAACGAAUGGUAAUAGUAGUACUAUAACUGGUUAUAGUAACACCCAGUUUAAUAAUAAUAAUAAUAAUAAUAAUAAUAAUAAUAAUAAUAGUACAGGUAGGAAAAAAUGUUCAGGUUGGAAUGAAAGUUAUUAUUAUAAAAAUUAUGAUCAAGAUUAUUUUUAUAAUGAAAAUGCAAACAAUAUAUUUGAUGUAAAAUAUGGAGUAGGUUUUAAAAUGGCAUAUGCUAGAAUAGCUUCAAGUUGUGCAAUAAUGUCAAGAACAGUUAAUACAAUAGGGAUAGGUUUAUUAUCAUUAGAAUUAAUGAAUCAUUGUGAUUCAAAAGAAUUAGCUACACCAUUAUGUAUGUGGAAAUUACCUAAUAAAGAAUUAAUAAAUAGAAAUAUUGCAAAUAAAUCAGAACAUCGACAUCAUCAAAAAUUAUUAAUGUCUUAUACUCCUUUUAAUAGUCCUAGUUUAUUAGCUGAACAGAUUAAUAUAUUAGGAACGUAUAGUGGUACAAGAUUAUUAUUUUGGGAUUUUAGAGAUGACAUGGAUUUUGUUAUUUUUAAUGCAUCAAAUAAUAAUAUUUAUUUGAGUAGUUCACCUAUUACUAUGGAUGAAAUUAAAUGUUCUAAUAAAAAAGAAUCAUCAAGUGCUACAGCUCAUCAUAGUGUUAAAAGUGGUGAGUAUGUUGGGGGAUAUAAUAGUAAUAGUAGACAUCAUUCAAAUCAACAUCGUUUAGAGGAUAUAAAAAAUAAUAAUACUGAUGUUAAAAGAAGAGUAAAUUUUGAAGAUGAAAAAAAAAUUAAAAAAACGAAGUUAAAUGUCGAUAAUGGGGGGGUUAUAAUGUCAUGUGUUGAAGAUACGACAAAAACAGGUACUAAUACGUUGACAAAUGUAGAUGGUACUAUAAAUAAUGGUGGUACUAAAAAUAAUGGUGGUACUAAAAAUAAUGGUGGUACUAAAAAUAAUGAUGGUACAAUAAAUAAUGAUGGUACAAUAAAUAAUGAUGGUACAAUAAAUAAUGANNNNNNNNNNAUAAAUAAUGAUGGUACAAUAAAUAAUGAUGGUACAAUAAAUAAUGAAUCUGAUAAUGUUGUUGCUUAUGGAACGAGUGAAGAUGACAAUGACGAUGAUGAUGGUGUUAAUGAUGGUGAUGAUGGUGAUGAUGUUGGUGAUGAUGGUGGUGAUGGUGGUGAUGAUGAAGAGUUUAAAAAUGCAAAAGAAGAUGAGGAGAAUGUACAAGAAGAAUAAAAACUGGGAUUAGGAAAGGAAUCGCAUGUGACAAAAAUAUUGUUAUUAACGUAUGGCUAUAGAUAUAGAUACACAUUACAAUAUAUAUUUAUUAACAUAAAAAAAAAAAAAAAAAAAAAAAAAAAAAAAAAAAAAAAAAANNNNNNNNNNNNNNNNNNNNNNNNNNNNNNNNNNNNNNNNNNNNNNNNNNNNNNNNNNNNNNNNNNNNNNNNNNNNNNNNNNNNNNNNNNNNNNNNNNNNAUUUGUUCCAUACGAAAAAGGCUAUAUAUAUAUAUAUAUAUAUAUAUGUGUACGUGUGUAUGUAUGUUACUUCAACCUAGACUCUUUCAUUUUUAUGUUAAAUUAUAAUUUUUACUAAAUUAUUUUAUAUUUGAAUAAAAAAAAAAAAAAGAAGAAGAAGAAAUUCUUC